GAUAACCAUGCUCGGCAUCCACAUGAACAAUUUGUUUCAAUGACCACCCAGGUAAUUCAGAUGCUCCAUUUGGUUCUUGGAUAUUCUCCCUGCUGCUCAUUUCACAACUACGUCAAUCUGUUGUUUUCAAACAGUAAGGGAGAAAGCUACUGAUACAGUAUAUAUUGGACAUUGAAUUGGUGCUCCAUGGAGCCAGGGCACCAUGAUUUAUGCACAAAUCCAAACCAAAUUUGAUUAUAGUUUUUUUUGGAAAUUUUAGCUCUGGGGUAUAAUACCUGAUUAUUAUAGAAUUCAAGUACUCUACAUCUAGGAUAUUGCUGUGUAUAUCUAUUUCUGCAUACCAUACUGCUUGUAUAUAAAAUCAACAUAUAUCUGCAGUCAAACAAUCAUUAGAAAAAGUAACUGCAAUUUGGCUUUAGUACAAAUAUUUCACAUAUAUGUGCCUUAGUUCUAUGUAAUGCUUUGUUGUUCUCUAAGGUAUCCUCCUAUCUUUGAUGGAAGUAGUAGCAUUUUUCUGGCAGUGCUGCUUGUUAAUCAAUGUAAAUCCUAGAGAAUCAUGUAAUUAAGGAUAGCCUUUGUUAUUGUAAUCGUAGAUUGAUCCUAAUUGGGAUCCUGUACAUCUGGAUGUAAUCUUGAUGAUGAAGUAUCAUCAAGUAUAUAUUCAUGGCAAGGCCCAAGGGGUAAAUCACGACAACCAAUCAUGUUUAACUCUGCUUUCUCUUGCCUUCGGCGGCCCCACGUGUGUCGUGCUCGUGGACGUGUGUGCGUCCUGAUCGUGGCCGGCUCUUGCUGCUAUUUUUGCUGUGUGUCGUGUUGCUACUGCUGUUGAUUGCCGGCUGUUGCGCAUGUCUUGCUUGUGGCCGGCCCUGGCUGCUCAUGUCCUACAAUUUCUGCUAUUGUUAGUUUUUGCUUGCUUCGGUUUUUCUUUUUGGAAAUUAUGUAUAGAAUAUGUCUUCUGUUGUAUACAACUUUAUUCUUUCAAAGAAAAUAACUAAACAGUAUGUGUUUCUACCCUCACCUUUUUUAUCUGUUCAAAUCCUAUUUUACUUGGAAUUAUUUGAAAUUCUGGGUCACUUUAUCUGUUGGUGCAGCAGCUUGCAUCUACAAGAAUAGGUUAUCAAAGAAACUGAAUCUGGAAGGUUAAGACAUUAGACAUCUAUUGACAGGUACCAACAUGUCAUCUUUGUCCGUGUGUACCCGACGUUGAUCUGAUUUGAAGUUGGUUUAUUCAAUUCUUUAGUAGUGAUGCAUACAGAUAUGAUGGAAAUACUCGAAAGUAGCACUUGUUUAUGUGAGGUUUAGUGUGUAACCGCUCAAGUUUUAAUAUAUGCAUCACUACUAUAGUCCUUUGUUAUCCCAGCCUCGGCCGAUCGGGUCGCAGUUGUUUCUUUCUGUAUGACUAUUGUUUCAACAUGUGUGUGUUGCAGCCAUGAUCAAGAGCCGGCUGCACAUGCAGCAGAGACAUAGAAUUAUAUUUACUGCCUGUAGUAGACGCAUCCAAGUUGGACUUGCGUAGAAGGAUUGAGACUAAUUUUAUGUUCCCAUGUAGUAGCGAUUCCUUGGUAUUUAGAUGAUGCCAAUAUUGUAUAUCAGUAAUCCAUCUGGUGUUUUCCCCUUACAUUUGUGCAUUCUACAAAGGUGUUCAAUUUUUCAGCUUCAAUAAUUCUAUUUCUUUUUGCUCAUUUUGUUCCUACGGGUCAUGAACUAUCCCCUUCUUGCCAUCAAUGCCCCGGGCAUUGUUAGUACAGAAGUACCCGCUCCUACCUUAUUCACAUUUAAGUUUCAUCUUUUCCAUUGAUUUAUUAGUAAACUAUAUUUUCUAAUUGAACUAUAGCCUGUCAAAAUAAUUAUAGCAAGGUCGUGUGUACAUUUGUACCAACAAGCGAAUCCACUAUCAAAUGCAUUGUGCAAUAAUACAUAAAUAGGUAAAUAGAUGCUGAUUCGGACACUUAUGAAACUCAAAUCACAAAUUUAGGAUGAAUGGAGCAAACAUCAAUGACCGCAUAUGGAUCAAUGACGAUGAAGGUGUUAAUUCCCGCCUCUAUUUGUUAUGACUGCUUAUGGAUCGAAAUCUGUUGGAUUAGUAUAUAGCACACGUUGUCAUUCCUUGCUUAAUAGACACGCACUGCUCUUUUUGUCAUGGCUGCUCUGCAGUAAAUGCACGAUGUUUCACUUUAGCCUGAGUCUUCUGUUCGGUAAUUGUUGUUUCUCCCUGAAACAAAACUGACACUGUAAUCCAAACAUCCAGCUGGGUACUGACAAGAAGUACCAAUUUAGGAGGACAGUGAGAGAGCUCAGAGUUGUAGGGCUCGGCAUGAAGAACACAUUGGAGGACCAUUUACGAUGCCUUCUGGUGCAAAUAGUGGAAGUCUUUUAGUAAAUAUAUAUUCAUGUGAAACUGAAAUUUAGACAACAUUAGAUGAACAUUAUUGUACUGAAUCUUCACUGUAUUGUUACUCUGUAUGAACGUAUAUGCUAAACCAGGAUUACUACUGGACUUAGCAUUACCUGCUUA